rnacentral:snRNA from 1 species
ACACUUACUUGGCAGGGGAGAUGCUGUGACCACACAGGAGGUUUUCCCAGGCUGAGGCUCAUCCUUGCCCUCCAGGUGAGCUGACCCCUGUGAUUUCCCCAAAUGUGGGGGACUCCGCCCUAUAAUCUGUGGUAGUGGGGGACUGCGUUCACACUUCCUCCUG